rnacentral:misc_RNA from 1 species
AACGCACAUUGCGCCCCUUGGUAUUCCGGGGGGCAUGCCUGUUCGAGCGUCAUUAUAACCCUCAAGCCUAGCUUGGUGUUGGGGCAUGCCUUUGGGCAGCCCUUAAAAUCAGUGGCAGUGCCUGUCGGCUCUAAGCGUAGUAAUUUCUCUCGCUAUAGGGUCCGGUGGAACACGCGCCAGAACCCCCAACUUUCUAUGGUUGACCUCGGAUCAGGUAGGGAUACCCGCUGAACUUAA